GUCCACGCAGUAAACGGUGAACACUAGGUGUAGCGGGUAUUGACCCCCGCUGUGCCGAAGCUAACGCAUUAAGUGUUCCGCCUGGGAAGUACGGCCGCAAGGUUAAAACUCAAAGGAAUUGACGGGGGCCCGCACAAGCGGUGGAGCAUGUGGUUUAAUUCGACGCAACGCGAAGAACCUUACCUGGGCUUGACAUCCCGGGAAUCUUCUUGAAAGAGAAGAGUGCCCUUCGGGGAACCCGGAGACAGGUGCUGCAUGGCUGUCGU
rnacentral:rRNA from 1 species